UACGUAGGGGGCUAGCGUUGUCCGGAAUCAUUGGGCGUAAAGAGCGCGUAGGCGGCCAGAUAAGUCCGGUGUGAAAGUCACAGGCUCAACCUGUGAAUGCCGCUGGAAACUGUCUGGCUAGAGUCCGGGAGGGGCGAGUGGAAUUCCUGGUGUAGCGGUGGAAUGCGCAGAUAUCAGGAGGAACACCGGUGGCGAAGGCGGGUCUCUGGACAGUUCCUGACGCUGAGGCACGAAGGUCAGGGGAGCAAACGGG
rnacentral:rRNA from 1 species